rnacentral:tRNA from 1 species
GCGGGAGUAGCUCAGUUGGUAGAGCACAACCUUGCCAAGGUUGGGGUCGCGGGUUCGAAUCCCGUCUCCCGCUCCA